UACCUGGUUGAUUCUGCCAUUAGUCAUAUGCUUGUCUCAAAGAUUAAGCCAUGCAUGUCUAAGUAUAAGCAAUUAUACCGUGAAACUGCGAAUGGCUCAUUAAAUCAGUUAUCGUUUAUUUGAUAAUACCUUACUACUUGGAUAACCGUGGUAAUUCUAGAGCUAAUACAUGCUGAAAAUCCCGACUUCGGAAGGGAUGUGUUUAUUAGAUAAAAAACCAAUGCCCUUCGGGGCUUUUUGGUGAUUCAUGAUAACUUUACGGAUCGCAUAGCCUUGCGCUGGCGACGGUUCAUUCAAAUUUCUGCCCUAUCAACUUUCGAUGGUAAGGUAUUGGCUUACCAUGGUUUCAACGGGUAACGGGGAAUUAGGGUUCGAUUCCGGAGAGGGAGCCUGAGAAACGGCUACCACAUCCAAGGAAGGCAGCAGGUGCGCAAAUUACCCAAUCCCGACACGGGGAGGUAGUGACAAUAAAUACUGAUACAGGGCUCUUUUGGGUCUUGUAAUUGGAAUGAGUACAAUUUAAACCUCUUAACGAGGAACAAUUGGAGGGCAAGUCUGGUGCCAGCAGCCGCGGUAAUUCCAGCUCCAAUAGCGUAUAUUAAAGUUGUUGCAGUUAAAAAGCUCGUAGUUGAAACUUGGGUCUGGCUGGCGGGUCCGCCUCACCGCGUGCACUCGUCCGGCCGGGCCUUCCUUCUGAAGAACCUCAUGCCCUUCACUGGGCGUGUUGGGGAAUCAGGACUUUUACUUUGAAAAAAUUAGAGUGUUCAAAGCAGGCCUUUGCUCGAAUACGUUAGCAUGGAAUAAUAAAAUAGGGCGUGCGUUUCUAUUUUGUUGGUUUCUAGAGACGCCGCAAUGAUUAACAGGAACAGUCGGGGGCAUCAGUAUUCAGUUGUCAGAGUGAAAAUUCUUGGAUUUACUGAAGACUAACUACUGCGAAAGCAUUUGCCAAGGAUGUUUUCAUUAAUCAGUGAACGAAAGUUAGGGGAUCGAAGACGAUCAGAUACCGUCGUAGUCUUAACCGUAAACUAUGCCGACUAGGGAUCGGGCGAUGUUCUUUUUCUGACUCGCUCGGCACCUUACGAGAAAUCAAAGUUUUUGGGUUCUGGGGGGAUUAUGGUCGCAAGGCUGAAACUUAAAGAAAUUGACGGAAGGUCACCACCAGGCGUGGAGCCUGCGGCUUAAUUUGACUCAACACGGGGAAACUCACCAGGUCCAGAUGAAAUAAGGAUUGACAGAUUGAGAGCUCUUUCUUGAUUUUUCAGGUGGUGGUGCAUGGCCGUUCUUAGUUCGUGGGGUGACUUGUCUGCUUAAUUGCGAUAACGAGCGAGACCUUACUCUGCUAAAUAGCCAGGCUAGCUUUGGCUGGUCGCCGGCUUCUUAGAGAGACUAUCAACUCAAGUUGAUGGAAGUUUGAGGCAAUAACAGGUCUGUGAUGCCCUUAGAUGUUCUGGGCCGCACGCGCGCUACACUGACAGAGCCAACGAGUUCUUCACCUUGGCCGAAAGGUCUGGGUAAUCUUGUUAAACUCUGUCGUGCUGGGGAUAGAGCAUUGCAAUUAUUGCUCUUCAACGAGGAAUGCCUAGUAAGCGCGUGUCAUCAGCAUGCGUUGAUUACGUCCCUGACCUUUGUACACACCGCCCGUCGCUACUACCGAUUGAAUGGCUCAGUGAGGCGUUCGGACUGGCUCGGGGAGGUUGGCAACGACCACCCCAAGCCGGAAAGUUCGUCAAACUCGGUCAUUUAGAGGAAGUAAAAGUCGUAACA
rnacentral:rRNA from 1 species